rnacentral:rRNA from 1 species
UAAGGAAUAUUGCUCAAUGGGAGAAAUCCUGAAGCAGCAACGCCGCGUGGAGGAUGAAGGGUCUAUGACUUGUAAACUCCUGUAAAGAAGGAAAAAAUUCCCAUUAGAUGGGAGAUGAUGGUACUUCUGGAGUAAGCCCCGGCUAACUACGUGCCAGCAGCCGCGGUAAUACGUAGGGGGCAAGCGUUGUCCGGAUUUACUGGGUGUAAAGGGUGCUCAGGCGGAUUUGUAAGUCAGAGGUGAAAUCUUACAGCUUAACUGUGAAACUGCCUUUGAUACGGCAAGCCUAGAGUAUGGAAGAGAGUGAUGGAAUAUCUGGUGUAGCAGUGAAAUGCGUAGAUAUCAGAUAGAACACCAAUGGCGAAGGCAGUCACUUGGUCCAUUACUGACGCUAAAGCACGAAAGCGUGGGUAGCAAACA